AAAAAUUACUAAACCUUUAAUAACGAAGAACGCUUCUUUGAGAUCCGUUUCUUGCUGAAGCUUUAACAGUCUCGGGGGAGUUGUCGAUGUGGACUCGUCGAGCGGCAGCGCGUCCAAUCCAACCUUCGCUUUCGAUGUCUCUCGCUCGCUCGUACCAGCGAUCUCACUUUCCUCUCCUCCUGAUUACUGGCAAAAAUGUGGGAGGAGAUGGGGCUUGUGUCCACAGGGCCAACAACCUGAUUUUACAGAUCCUUUUGUCCUUUCCACAUUAAUUUGCAUUUUCUUAUGCACAAUAUGUAUGCAUCGAAAUCUGAAAUGAGGCAGUUGCUAUUCACAAUCUGCUUCUGUGAUAUUCAAUCAGGAUAGAGGUGGCUGCACAGUGGAAGACUUCUGUAAUCAUGUGCACAAGAGUUUAAUCAAGUACGAGCGAUAUGUGCUUGUUUGGGGAACUGGUGGAAGGCAAUAUUCACAGCACCGCCGGCUUUCACACAUCUUCAUAAUGAAAAGACGUUGUCCAGAUAGUUAAGAAGAAGGUUUUAUCCUGCUAUACUUUCACUUGUCACUCUUUCUUGUUCAAACAGUUCUAAUUCUUUGAACGACUUUGUCAUUUACCUGUUAACAGGGCUUUGUAACCUACUGCCUCACAUUUUAGCUACUUCGAAACCAUUUAACCUAUCACAAUGAAAAUCAUUGAAGUGUGGCUUGUGUGUGCAGAAUUGAUUCUUGUUCUUUCUUGCUGUCUCCAUCCAUCUAGCUCGCACUCGAACUUGCUAUGCUUAUAAUUUACUUUCAGGAAAAGGAAGAAGAGGGUAGAGGUCGGUUCGAGUCACAUUCCAGAGCCCCUGCUCGCAUAUCUGACAGAGAGAAGAAGGCUCCUUUAAAAACAUGAUUUGUAGGCAUGCAUUCAUGUGCGAUUGCAUGUCUAGGUCUGGGAUAUUAUCUCUGGCCAUCCAAAUCGUCAAAGCAUCUGUAUCUACUUGAAGAGAAUGGUAUAUAUAUACCUAGUGGGUGAAAUCAUCCUGGGGAAGCUGAAGUCAGAUAAAUUAGUUUAGCUGGCUUAAACAAUUAUUAUUAUUAUUUUUUGAGAAAAGAAACUGCAAAUGGGCUCGGACCUCCUCUCAUGUUGUGAAAGUGGAUUUUGGCUACUGUGGCCUUCUUUAAGAUCAUGGUGCAGACAUUUGACUAUGCUGGAUGGCGAGAUCGAGUGAGUGGGAAUGUGGAAUGAUUCUAUAUGUAUCCUACUAUGCUCGAACUUGUGAUUUAUUAUGUGUUUGAAGAAUGACUGUUAUUAUAAAGAUUUGUGCUGUAA